ensembl:processed_transcript
GGCCUCCGCCGAGGCUGCUGGGUCCUGCGGAGCUCCGAGCACGUGCGGUGCCCAGCUGCCGAUCUGAGGCGAUGCCUGCCCUGGUGAGUACAGUUCCGUUAUUUCCCGUUUGCCCCAGCUGUAGGCAGCUACCUGGGUUCCAUUGUACCUAGGCAAGUGUUACACUGCUGGGAGAACAGCAGCCAAUAGCUGGUUGGCAUUCUGGGCCUGGUUCAUGCCAACUCUGUUGUUAACUGUACCAGGAUGUCAGCAUAGUUGCUUACCCAAGAAGAGAAGAGCAAGCUCUGCAGGAAGAAACCUAAAGUCCAGGUCUUCCAACACGGAGGUUACUUAAGUCACAACUCGGAAAUGGAACUGAGUAAAAGCCAGUAAGGGAAAUAAACAAGAAAAAAAAGUCAAGACUUAGUGCCUGUAAAUGGUCGGGAGUGGGCCUGAGGCAGUGGAGGGAGUUACUAGACUACACUUUCACUAAAAGUAGAUUGCUUCCUCUCUCCACAAAAAUAAAAGCUAAAUCAUGAUCCCUUUAGUGAGCUCCCUGUUGGGAAUGUUGAGUCUGGUGUUGGAGUAUGCAGGUUCCAUUCAGAUUGUCUAGGCGACAUACAUGCCCAAUCUCAAAAACUAGCUUGUCAAUAAACUUAUGCAUAUUAAUUGACCAUGCGGUUCUGGGAACUAGCUUAGAUCAAACAGUACAAUGAGUAGUUAGGUUCCCUCUUUUGUUAUUAAUCCUGAUUUUCUAAGAAAUGCCUCAAUUUUAGGCAAAUAGUGAUCACUCAAUGAAUCUAGUGAUUAUCUAAUAGAGCAACAUUGUUAACUUUUGUGAAAAUAUCCUGGUUUCCACAGGAAGGCACAACCUUAAUAGACCUCCCUCGUAUCCUUGGGUAUAUGAGGGUUGGUGGCAUCCACCACCUGUGUCCCUCCUUUUUCUCUUCCCUGUGGACAUGAGUCCUUACUUAACACCUACCUCCACGACCCAACAGGAAACCCCUGAACUUGACUAGCGCAGGGAUAGUUGUAGCUGAGCUAUGCACAGAUUUCCUUAAUCAGUUUCCAGAAGUCUCUGCUUGCCAGAGCCACCAAGCACCCCAGGUGAGCAUCUGCUAACAUUCUCUUCAGUAGCCUCUGCACUGCUCACUUUACCUUCAUUGCCCGCCCAUGGACAUCAAUAUCCCUUUUGCUCCUCAGUGUAAUACCUAAGCUACCUAGUGCCCCACACCCCCCUUAACUUGUCAGAAAUCAAAUUUAUCACAGUUCUUACAGGAAAGUUACUAUCCCAUAUUACCCACGUUUAGUUCUACCACUCCAUCUACCUGCUCUUGGGUUCAUGCCCAUAAUUACUGUUACUCCUGUUCCUUAAUAGCACCAGCUUAGCCCUGAAAAUAGGCCACUGAGCCUGCCGUACCUUUGCUGUCCCUCUGGUGCAUUAGUGUUAACAUGACUUUCCAGGUAUCUACUAUUGACUUCCUGUCCAUCAAAUUCUUUUUUUAAAAAAAAUAUUUUUUAUGUAUGU